AAAUUGAAGAGUUUGAUCAUGGCUCAGAUUGAACGCUGGCGGCAGGCCUAACACAUGCAAGUCGAACGGUAACAGGAAGCAGCUUGCUGCUUCGCUGACGAGUGGCGGACGGGUGAGUAAUGUCUGGGAAACUGCCCGAUGGAGGGGGAUAACUACUGGAAACGGUAGCUAAUACCGCAUAACGUCGCAAGACCAAAGAGGGGGACCUU
rnacentral:rRNA from 1 species